rnacentral:rRNA from 1 species
UAGCUUGUUGUUGGUUUUAUAAUAGGUGAUUUCUGCCCGGUGUUUUUAGAAUAAACGGCCGCGGUACUCUGACCGUGCAAAGGUAGCAUAAUCAUUUGUCCUUUAAUUGUGGGCUGGGAUGAAGGGGAAGAUCGUGGGUUUGGCUGUCUCCUUUCUAUUUUUUGAAUUUGCUGUCUGUGUGAAGAAGCAUUGUUGGUAAAGAGGGACGAGAAGACCCUAUUAAGCUUUACCUUUGUUUAGUGGGCCUGGUCUUUUAUGUAUUUAGGCUUGCUUUAAAAGGUUUGGUUGGGGUGACCGGAGAAGAUGUGGAUCUUCUUUUUUGUUUUUACUUUCUGUUGAAUGUUUGAUCCAAGAUUUUUUGAUUCAGGGAAUUAGUUACUAUAGGGGUAACAGCGUAAUUUUUUCAUAAAGUUCUUAUUGAGGAAGAAGAUUGCGACCUCGAUGUUGACUUGCCGCCCCCUCUUUUAGGUGUAGCAGCUGGGAGGGUUAGUCUGUUCGACUAUUAAAGUGGC